rnacentral:rRNA from 1 species
UACGUAGGGCGCAAGCGUUAUCCGGAAUUAUUGGGCGUAAAGAGCUCGUAGGCGGUUUGUCGCGUCUGCCGUGAAAGUCCGGGGCUCAACUCCGGGUCUGCGGUGGGUACGGGCAGACUAGAGUGAUGUAGGGGAGACUGGAAUUCCUGGUGUAGCGGUGAAAUGCGCAGAUAUCAGGAGGAACACCGAUGGCGAAGGCAGGUCUCUGGGCAUUAACUGACGCUGAGGAGCGAAAGCAUGGGGAGCGAACAGG